GUUUUUCUUGUAGUGAGAGAAGAGAGGGAAGUGAGAACGUGAGGGAACACAACAUGGCAGCACCAAGGUCAGUGGAAAAAAAGAGGGGGAAGAAGUGCUCCAAAUGUCACAGCUGAGAUUCCUCUGCAAGCCGUAGUGAGGACUAUGAUGAAACAAACUCUAGCCUGGCAGUCCAUGAAGUCUGUGGGGGAUGCAGAAAUCCACUCGCAGCUUCCAAAGCAGAGCAGCCUGGUCCUUUGGAGGACUGCACCCCAUGGACUGCUGCUUGUGAGAUUAGAGCCACACUGGAGAAGUUCAUUGAGAAGUGUUUCCAUGGGAGAGACCCAUUGACAUAGCAGAAAAAUCUCCUCUCCCUGAGUGAACAGAAGAAUAUCUCAAGUGACAAACUGACCAAAACCCCUGUGCCCUGUCUCCCUCCAUUGUUGGGGGGAUGGAGCUGGGGGGGAAAAAAGGUCUUUUAAUGUUUUAUUUAUUUCUCAUUAUUGUCCUCUGACUCUGUUAAUAAUAAAUUUACUUAAUACCAUUAAAUUUGAACCUUUUAUUUUUGA